rfam:Bacillus methanolicus MGA3, complete genome.
GUGAAGUUGAUCACAAGCAAACAAAUACCCCUUUGUUUGACCGUGAAAAAUUUCUCCCAUCCCCUUUGUUCGUAUUAUAUAAAGAAAAAGACCAUGCAGCGAGGCCGCUGAAUGGUCUUU